rnacentral:sRNA from 1 species
UGAGCACCGCCUUCCAGGGCCCACAGGAGUAUGAGAGGGCCUCCAAAGUGGACCAGUUUGUGACACGCUUCCUGCUGCGGGAGACGGUGAGCCAGCUGCAAGCCCUGCAGAGCUCGCUGGAGGGGGCGUCAGAUACCCUGGAGGCCCAGGCCCAUGGCUGGCGGUCAGACGCAGAGAGCGUGGAGGCGCAGAGCAGGCUCUGCGGCAGCCGGCAGGCAGGACGCCGAGCCCUGAGGAGUGUCAGCCGGUCAUCCACCUGGUCCCCCGGCUCUUCUGACACAGGGCGCAGCUCAGAGGCCGAGAUGCAGUGGCGGCUCCAGGUGAACCGCCUCCAGGAGCUCAUCGACCAGCUCGAGUGCAAGGCCCCCCGGCUGGAACCCCUGCGUGAAGAGGACCUGGCCAAGGGGCCUGACUUGCACAUCCUCGUGGCCCAGAGGCAGGUCCAGGUGGCAGAGGAAGGCCUGCAGGACUUCCACCGAGCCCUGCGCUGCUACGUGGACUUCACAGGGGCCCAGAGCCAUUGUCUGCAUGUGUCCGCCCAGAAGAUGCCGGAUGGUGCCUCCUUCACCCUGUAUGAGUUCUGGCAGGAUGAGCCCUCCUGGAGAAGGCACCAGCAGUCGCCUGGCAGCAAGGCCUUCCAGCGCGUCCUCAUCGACCACCUGCGGGCCCCGGACACCCUCACCACUGUGUUCUUCCCAGCCUCCUGGUGGAUAAUGAAUAACAACUGAGCCAGACCUGCACACGCCGAGGGCCCCGGGACCCUGCCUGCCUCCCUCUGGAGCCUUCUGGACUGGCCAGCCCAGCGCAAAGACCAGGGCUUGUCUCCU